rnacentral:rRNA from 1 species
GACGAACGCUGGCGGCGUGCUUAACACAUGCAAGUCGAACGGAAAGGCCCUGCUUUUGUGGGGUGCUCGAGUGGCGAACGGGUGAGUAACACGUGAGUAACCUGCCCUUGACUUUGGGAUAACUUCAGGAAACUGGGGCUAAUACCGGAUAGGAGCUCCUGCUGCAUGGGGGGGGUUGGAAAGUUUCGGCGGUUGGGGAUGGACUCGCGGCUUAUCAGCUUGUUUGUGGGGUAGCGGCUGACCAAGGCUUUGACGGGUAGCCGGCCUGAGAGGGUGACCGGCCGCACGGGAAUGGAGACGGGGUGCAGAGUCCUACGGGAGGCAGGAGGGGGGAACCUUCGGCAAUGGGCGAAAGCCGGACGGAGCAGCGCCGCGGGAGGGAUGAGGGGCGGCGGAUCGGAGAAAGCGGUUAUUAGGGAAGAACAAAGGUGGAAGUAACUAUGCACGUCGUGACGGUACCGAAUCAGAAAGCCAGGGCUAACUACGUG